GACGAACGCUGGCGGCGUGCUUAACACAUGCAAGUCGAACGGAAAGGCCCUGCUUUUGUGGGGUGCUCGAGUGGCGAACGGGUGAGUAACACGUGAGUAACCUGCCCUUGACUUUGGGAUAACUUCAGGAAACUGGGGCUAAUACCGGAUAGGAGCUCCUGCUGCAUGGUGGGGGUUGGAAAGUUUCGGCGGUUGGGGAUGGACUCGCGGCUUAUCAGCUUGUUGGUGGGGUAGUGGCUUACCAAGGCUUUGACGGGUAGCCGGCCUGAGAGGGUGACCGGCCACAUUGGGACUGAGAUACCGCCCAGACUCCUACGGGAGGCAGCAGUGGGGAAUAUUGCACAAUGGGCGGAAGCCUUAUGCAGCAACGCCGCGUGCGGGAUGACGGCCUUCGGGUUGUAAACCGCUUUCGCCUGGGACGAAGCGUGAGUGACGGUAAUGGGUAAAGAAGCACCGGCUAACUACGUG
rnacentral:rRNA from 1 species